rnacentral:rRNA from 1 species
GACGAACGCUGGCGGCGUGCCUAAUACAUGCAAGUAGAACGCUGAAGGAGGAGCUUGCUUCUCUGGAUGAGUUGCGAACGGGUGAGUAACGCGUAGGUAACCUGCCUGGUAGCGGGGGAUAACUAUUGGAAACGAUAGCUAAUACCGCAUAACAGUAGAUAUCGCAUGAUAUCUACUUGAAAGGUGCAAUUGCAUCACUACCAGAUGGACCUGCGUUGUAUUAGCUAGUUGGUGAGGUAACGGCUCACCAAGGCGACGAUACAUAGCCGACCUGAGAGGGUGAACGGCCACACUGGGACUGAGACACGGCCCAGACUCCUACGGGAGGCAGCAGUAGGGAAUCUUCGGCAAUGGACGGAAGUCUGACCGAGCAACGCCGCGUGAGUGAAGAAGGUUUUCGGAUCGUAAAGCUCUGUUGUAAGAGAAGAACGAGUGUGAGAGUGGAAAGUUCACACUGUGACGGUAUCUUACCAGAAAGGGACGGCUAACUACGUG